rnacentral:rRNA from 1 species
UACGAAAGGGGGCUAGCGUUGCUCGGAAUCACUGGGCGUAAAGGGUGCGUAGGCGGGUCUUUAAGUCAGGGGUGAAAUCCUGGAGCUCAACUCCAGAACUGCCUUUGAUACUGAGGAUCUUGAGUACGGGAGAGGUGAGUGGAACUGCGAGUGUAGAGGUGAAAUUCGUAGAUAUUCGCAAGAACACCAGUGGCGAAGGCGGCUCACUGGCCCGUAACUGACGCUGAGGCACGAAAGCGUGGGGAGCAAACAGGAUUAGAUACC